CGCCCGCUCAGAAACUUAAAGGAAUUGACGGGGACCCGCACAAGCGGUGGAGCAUGUGGUUUAAUUCGAUGCAACGCGAAGAACCUUACCUGGUCUUGACAUCCUAGGAAUCCUGCAGAGAUGCGGGAGUGCCUUCGGGAACCUGGAGACAGGUGCUGCAUGGCUGUCGUCAGCUCGUGUCGUGAGAUGUUCGGUUAAGUCCGCUAACGAGCGCAACCCUCGCUGUAUGUUACAUGUGUCAUACAGGACCGCCGGUAUCAAGCCGGAGGAAGGUGGGGAUGACGUCAAGUCCGCAUGGCCUUUAUGUCCGGGGCUACACACACGCUACAAUGGUCGGUACAAUGGGUUGCUAAGCCGCGAGGUGGAGCCAAUCCCCCAAAGCCGGCCUCAGUUCAGAUUGCAGGCUGCAACUCGCCUGCAUGAAGCUGGAGUUGCUAGUAAACGCGCGUCAGCUAUAGUGCGUUGAAUACGUUCUCGGGCCUU
rnacentral:rRNA from 1 species